AUAAUAAACUUUACUUUACGCGUAAUUCCAUUAAUUGUAAUAAUGUAAAUGUUCCAAUUGACUAGGUUUGGUCCGAUGGUAGAUGCUAUGGUAAAAUGUAGCAUAGAUACCUCACUGAACGAUACGCUAUGGUACCCCGGUUGUUCAGUCGUAGCUAAUAGAUAUAUUUGCAACGUUCUGAGCGUAAUUCCGCGCGUUUUACCUGCGUUCGUCAUAGAUAUAUUUUUAAGACUCCGAGGUUGUAAACCAAUAACUUCUCAGAAAUAGCAAUAAGCUGUUCUCAUCAUUUUUCAUUUUUUACCAUACACGAGUGAACUUUCCAAAGGGAUAACUGUUCCGACUUGGCGAGGAAGGUGAAAAUGUUACACGACCAUUUGCGAUAUGAUCAAACUAGAUUUCCGGGAUAUGGAUUGGGAGAAUUAUGGUGUAAUUUACCAGAUGGGAAUUAAGAAAUUUAUUCUGAAAGAAGAGUUUAAGUCAACAGCCCGACAACGAUUAUCAAGGUUGCACUGGAUACAUCAGAUAAUAAUAAUAAUAAUUUUGCUAUGGAUAAUGUUAUAAUUAGUGUACUGACUAUUUGAAUGCUACUUUUUUCUCUUUGAACCAAGAACAAUGUAAAUAGAAUUUUAUAAAGAAGGGAUUCAUCAUUGCUUUCA
rnacentral:lncRNA from 1 species